UACAGAGGUGGCAAGCGUUGUUCGGAAUUACUGGGCGUAAAGGGCGAGUAGGUGGCCAUCUAAGUCAGACGUGAAAUCCCCCGGCUUAACCUGGGAACUGCGUCCGAUACUGGCAGGCUUGAAUCCGGGAGAGGGAUGUGGAAUUCCAGGUGUAGCGGUGAAAUGCGUAGAUAUCUGGAGGAACACCGGUGGCGAAGGCGGCAUCCUGGACCGGCAUUGACGCUGAGGCGCGAAAGCCAGGGGAGCAAACGGG
rnacentral:rRNA from 1 species